CUUCUGGCAAUAGCUCUGAAGGCUGAAGAACUCACAAAUUUUGUGUUGCCAUCAGCUUCAACUCGUGAUCAUGAGUUGUGAGUUAAAUUACAACACUACAUUU